GGUAGCUUUUCUGACUCUUAAAGAGAUCUCAAGUAUACCUUCAGAGAAAUGCCAGCAAAAACUGUAGUCAUUUGGGAAGGAAUAAGCCUGGAAGAAAAAGAUACAACGAACUAGCACAACGAGGAGUUUGAAAAGUUCAUGACAGCUCACAGCUGAUGAUGGUGGCAAUCUUAAGGAUACAGAAAGCUCAUUCCUCAUGCAGGGAAGAAGAAAAUAUUCUAAAGAAGAGAUAAGCAUAUUCCAUGAAAUCAAAAAAGCGUAAAACGCUGGAGGAGAAGUCAGUAGCAAGCAGCUAAGACAACAUGGUACAUGUGGGUCCAAUGUGAAAAACACUAAGUGGGAUGGUUAAUUGUAUGUGUUCCCUUGGCUGGACCAUGAUGACAGAUAUUUGGUCAAACAUUAUUCUGGAUGUUUCUGUAAAGGAGUUUUUGGGCUAGAAGCCCACCAACUGCUAACAACCAGCUGGAGGGUAAGUCAAAAGCUAUGAGAGCCCAGAAGGAGAACAAUUAUUUAGACCUGGAGGGGCCAGUUGGGAAAGUCUUUGAAGGGUCUUCAGAAAAUGGACCAAAAGAAAAGAGGAAAAGUCAUUCUACUGAGAGGUGUUUGUGUAAUCAAAGCAACCGAGGCCUAAGAACUCACAAAAGAUUAGAAAAGGGUAAAGGAUGCCUGGAAAGCCGGACUAGGAAAAGGCUGUGAAGGGCCCUGAAGGUCACAUGUCACAUGUUGCCUGCAGCAUGCAGAAUCAAAACAUGAUAAAUCAUGUCUUGAAUCAUGACAUAUGAAGCAUGACACACGAAUCAUGACAUGUGACAUGUUGAAUGUCACAUGUCACAUGCCGUAGGCAGCCAUCAAGAGUAUUUGAAAGGAAAGUGUAUAAUCAGGCCUGUGCUUUAGUAAGACAA
rnacentral:lncRNA from 1 species